rnacentral:rRNA from 1 species
AUACGGAGGGUGCGAGCGUUAAUCGGAAUUACUGGGCGUAAAGCGUACGUAGGCGGUUCGUUAAGUUAGAUGUGAAAGCCUCGGGCUUAACCUGGGAACUGCAUUUAAAACUGGCGGACUAGAGUUGAGUAGAGGGGAGUGGAAUUUCAGGUGUAGCGGUGAAAUGCGUAGAGAUCUGAAGGAACACCAGUGGCGAAGGCGACUCCCUGGACUCGAACUGACGCUGAGGUACGAAAGCGUGGGUAGCAAACGGGAUUAGAAACCCCAGUAGUCC